UACGAAGGGGGCGAGCGUUGUUCGGAAUUACUGGGCGUAAAGCGCGCGUAGGCGGCUUGACAAGUCGAGUGUGAAAUCCCCGGGCUUAACCUGGGAGCUGCAUCCGAAACUGUCUUGCUAGAGUAUGGGAGAGGGAAGUGGAAUUUCAGGUGUAGCGGUGAAAUGCGUAGAUAUCUGAAGGAACAUCAGUGGCGAAAGCGACUUCCUGGACCAAUACUGACGCUCAGGUGCGAAAGCGUGGGGAGCAAACAGG
rnacentral:rRNA from 1 species